CAUCGCCGCGGUAAUACGUAGGUGGCAAGCGUUGUCCGGAAUUAUUGGGCGUAAAGGGCUCGCAGGCGGUUUCUUAAGUCUGAUGUGAAAGCCCCCGGCUCAACCGGGGAGGGUCAUUGGAAACUGGGAAACUUGAGUGCAGAAGAGGAGAGUGGAAUUCCACGUGUAGCGGUGAAAUGCGUAGAGAUGUGGAGGAACACCAGUGGCGAAGGCGACUCUCUGGUCUGUAGCUGACGCUGAGGGGCGAAAGCGUGGGGAGCGAACAGGAUUAGAUACCCGUGUAGUCCCUGUCUCUUAUACC
rnacentral:rRNA from 1 species